rnacentral:tRNA from 1 species
AGCCUUUGUAGCUCAACGGUAGAGCGAGAUACUGUUAAUAUCCUGAUAAGUGUUCGAUUCACUUUAAGGGCUG